UCUUGACUUGGGGGCACCCUGACCGCGAUGCCGCGUGUGUGAAGAAGGCCUGCGGGUUGUAAAGCACUUUAGGGGGGGAAGAAAGCUUAACGUUGAAUAGACGUUGAGGAUGACGUUACCCUCGGAAUAAGCACCGGCUAACUCUGUGCCAGCAGCCGCGGUAAGACAGAGGGUGCGAGCGUUAAUCGGAAUUACUGGGCGUAAAGGGCGCGUAGGCGGUUAUAUAAAUUGGAUGUGAAAAGGCUGGGCUUAACCUAGCUCGUGCAUCCAAGACUGUAGGACUAGAGUCGUGGAGAGGGAGGUGGAAUUUCCGGUGUAGCGGUGAAAUGCGUAGAGAUCGGAAGGAACAUCGAUGGCGAAGGCAACCUCCUGGACACAGACUGACGCUGAGGCGCGAAAG
rnacentral:rRNA from 1 species